rnacentral:rRNA from 1 species
GACGAACGCUGGCGGCGUGCUUAACACAUGCAAGUCGAACGGUUCUCGAAGUUCGAGGUUGGAUGUUCGAAGUUCGAAAAAGAAGGAAUUGGCCGGAGGCCCAAAUUCAACGAACAUCGAAUCUCGAAUGUCGAACCUCGAACUUCGAGGGUAGUGGCGAACGGGUGAGUAACGCGUGGAUAACCUGCCCGUUAAACCGGGAUAACGCCGGGAAACUGGUGCUAAUACCGGAUACGCUCAAUUUGCCACAUGGUAGAUUGAGGAAAGGGGAGACCCGUUAACGGAUGGGUCCGCGUCCCAUUAGCUAGUUGGUGGGGUAACGGCCCACCAAGGCGACGAUGGGUAGCCGGCCUGAGAGGGCGACCGGCCACACUGGAACUGAGACACGGUCCAGACUCCUACGGGAGGCAGCAGUGGGGAAUCUUCCGCAAUGGGCGCAAGCCUGACGGAGCAACGCCGCGUGAGCGAAGAAGGCCUUCGGGUUGUAAAGCUCUGUCCAGGGGGAAGAACGCAAUGACGGUACCCCUGGAGGAAGCCCCGGCUAACUACGUGCCAGCAGCCGCGGUAAAACGUAGGGGGCGAGCGUUGUCCGGAAUUACUGGGCGUAAAGGGCGUGUAGGCGGCGAUACAAGUCGAAAGUGAAACCCGGCGGCUCAACUGCCGGCCUGCUUUUGAAACUGUAUAGCUUGAGUGCAGGAGAGGAGAGUGGAAUUCCCAGUGUAGCGGUGAAAUGCGUAGAUAUUGGGAGGAACACCAGUGGCGAAAGCGGCUCUCUGGCCUGUAACUGACGCUGAGGCGCGAAAGCGUGGGGAGCAAACAGGAUUAGAUACCCUGGUAGUCCACGCCGUAAACGAUGGGUGCUAGGUGUUGUGGGUAUCGACCCCUUCAGUGCCGCAGUUAACGCAAUAAU